rnacentral:rRNA from 1 species
UACGAACGGAGCAGGUGUUAUUCAGAUUCACUGGGCGUAAAGGGCACGUAGGUGGUUUGUUUAUGUGUAUUAUUAAAUUGUAAAGCAUAACUUUAUAACGUAUUACAGACAACAAAACUAGAGUUAGGUAGAGGGUAGUAGGGGUAAAGGGAAUUUCCAGUGGAGCGGUGAAAUGCGUAGAGAUUGGAAAGAACACCGAUGGCGAAGGCACUUUACUGGGCUAUUACUAACACUCAGAGACGAAAGCUAGGGUAGCAAAUGGG